GACGAACGCUGGCGGCGUGCUUAACACAUGCAAGUCGAACGGAAAGGCCCUGCUUUUGUGGGGUGCUCGAGUGGCGAACGGGUGAGUAACACGUGUGUAACCUGCCCUUGACUUUGGGAUGACUUCAGGAAACUGGGGCUAAUACCGGAUAGGAGCCCCUGCUGGAUGGUGGGGGUUGGAUAGUUUCGGCGGUUGGGGAUGGACUCGCGGCUUAUCAGCUUGUUGGUGGGGUAGUGGCUUACCAAGGCGUUGACGGGUAGCCGGCCUGAGAGGGUGACCGGCCACAUUGGGACUGAGAUACGGCCCAGACUCCUACGGGAGGCAGCAGUGGGGAAUAUUGCACAAUGGGCGGAAGCCUGAUGCAGCAACGCCGCGUGCGGGAUGACGGCCUUCGGGUUGUAAACCGCUUUCGCCUGUGACGAAGCGUGAGUGACGGUAAUGGGUAAAGAAGCACCGGCUAACUACGUG
rnacentral:rRNA from 1 species